rnacentral:rRNA from 1 species
AUGCACGCUGGCGGCGUGCUUAACCCAUGCAAGUCGAACGGAAAGGCCCAAGCUUGCUUGGGUACUCGAGUGGCGAACGGGUGAGUAACACGUGGGUGAUCUGCCCUGCACUUCGGGAUAAGCCUGGGAAACUGGGUCUAAUACUGGAUAGGACCACUUCUUGGAUGUUGUGGUGGAAAGUUUUUUCGGUGUGGGAUGAGCUCGCGGCCUAUCAGCUUGUUGGUGGGGUAAUGGCCUACCAAGGCGUCGACGGGUAGCCGGCCUGAGAGGGUGUACGGCCACAUUGGGACUGAGAUACGGCCCAGACUCCUACGGGAGGCAGCAGUGGGGAAUAUUGCACAAUGGGCGCAAGCCUGAUGCAGCGACGCCGCGUGGGGGAUGACGGCCUUCGGGUUGUAAACUCCUUUCGCUAGGGACGAAGCGUUUUGUGACGGUACCUGGAGAAGAAGCACCGGCUAACUACGUG